rnacentral:rRNA from 1 species
UACGUAGGUCCCGAGCGUUGUCCGGAUUUAUUGGGCGUAAAGCGAGCGCAGGCGGUUUGAUAAGUCUGAAGUUAAAGGCUGUGGCUCAACCAUAGUUCGCUUUGGAAACUGUCAAACUUGAGUGCAGAAGGGGAGAGUGGAAUUCCAUGUGUAGCGGUGAAAUGCGUAGAUAUAUGGAGGAACACCGGUGGCGAAAGCGGCUCUCUGGUCUGUAACUGACGCUGAGGUGCGAGAGCGUGGGGAGCAAACAGG